GAAAUUCCUCCAAGGAACCUCUGCGAGCUUUUUUUUUUUUUUUUUUUUUUUAUCACGCGCGAGCUAAAAAUAGAAACGGGGUUGGAUCGUGAUCCAGAAAUAGAUAGGGGGCAUCACUCCUAUGAAAGGCACACCAUUCAAGAGUACAGUGUGUGCACAGUUUGAAGAAGCGAAAAGCCAGAGCAUGUUUAACGGAGGAACGGGGCUUUUUGUCCCGGUUUAGUGGCACUUUUUCCUGUUUUUAAAGGAGCCUCAGCUGCUACAACGGCCGUCUACACAUCACACACGCUACGCCGGGAGACGGGAGCACUGACCAAAACUAAAGUGGGGGCCGCAGGAUGAAUCCACCGAGUGAGUGGGGAAAACUGUAAAAGAGAAGUUAACAAUAGUUUUUCAUCGUUUUCAGCAACAACUUCUGUUAAAAUGCUCAGGCAGCAUGGAUGGACAUUUAUCUGUGUCACCCUAAGAUUGUAUUAUAUUUAAAAUUGUCUUGUUCUUUAUCCUCUUCUUCUUCUUCUUCUUCUUCUUCUUCUUCUUCUUUUUGAUCACCACAUAUUACAAGAAUGGAAAUUCAUUUUGUCUACACAUCCUUUACUUUAAAAAAACAAACAAAAAGAGUAGGCUAUUAGACUUGCUUUAGCAGUAUUAUCUGCAAUAAACAAAGGGCGUCUACUUAUUAUUGCCAGCUCAGUCUGACUCACCGGAUGUAGACUGUUAGGAUAAAGACUGCCAUUGGCUGCAUAUUUCUGCAGGCAUUCUCCUCCCCGCUAUCUCCGGUAUCUAUUUUGCAAGGGCACUGUCGCUGCAUCUGGAGCUUAGCGCCGCCCAAGGCGAUUGCGAUUGGUUUAAAGAAAUUCAAACAAGCCGGAAUGUUUUUUUCCCCUAUCCCAGAAUGUCAACUCGUGCAUCCAGACGUUUCUCCAGCGCUGACACAGCACUGUGCAAGUUAGGAAUGAGCCUGAAUCACAAUAGUUACCAGCCAUAUAAGGAAAUGCAUUUGGUCCGAUUAAGGCUCAGUACUACUGUAAAUGGCAAAUGGACUGCAUUUAUAGACAAAGCGCUUUACAAUCUGCCUCUCAUUCACCCAUUUACACACACUAAAACAAGGAGAAAGUGUUACACACACAUUGUGUUGAAAAUCAAUCAUUCAUAAUACUUCAAUGUGCGAACACUGGCAGCACGCUUAGUGACUUUGACUGCCAUGUGAAAAUCAGUUGUUCAACCAAAAUCUCCACGCAGUUGUAAAGUAUUCAGUUAAAAUAGUUCACUAGACCUGAACAUUCUUCAGAAAACCCUAAGGUGAUAAAUUAUUUCUUCCUUGUGAAUGUUUAAGCUUUUCCUUUGGUUUUACAAAUGUGCUUUCUUUUGUAAUCUGACAUCAAUAACUGAUCCCUUAAAAUUUGCAAUGUGAAAUAUUUUAAUGAGAGUCACUUCAUACAGGAGAUCUGGCUUAGGGGCUCCAACCCUAGGGUCCUGUGGUCUCAGGUCUCACGCCCAUGAGCGAUAAGCCAACCCCCCCCUCAGCUCCAGUAGAGAAGUCUAGCUGCUCACAAAACAGGGAGCUCCUGCUUCGGUACAGUGCAAAUGUGUUAAAGCCUCCCUCGUCCUGUGAUUUCCCCUCCAGGACAGCUUUUUUUUAAUCAGCUCACCUGCUUGACGGAGAAGUACUAACAGUUACACAAAACUGACAUAAAUACACACACUGGUCAGGACAGAACUACAGUGUUUCUGUAGUUCUCUGUUUUGUGAGGUGUGGGGUUGGUGACAAUAACUUGAUUAAAAUACAGAAAUAGUGGAAAGAUAAUGUGAUGGCUACAGUGAAAGACAACCACAUUUAAAAAGUCUUUAAAACAUAUUUGACCAAUAUAAUUCCUACUUUAGAGAAAUAUUAGGAAUACUAAAAUGAUAUAUAAAUGUAAAGAGUUCAGAUCCAGGGACUAAAGAAGUUGUGUGUGUGUUUGUGUGUUUUUCUUUUUCACAUUUUAUGUGUCAUUAUUAUAUACUGUAUAUUAUGGGACAUCCUGUAUUUGUCCUUGUCGUGUAAAUCAUGUCCUGUACGUAAUGUGAUGGAAGUGUUUGGGACGGGACAUUGAACAAGAAAGAAACCUUUCUAAAUGUAUUACAGUAGGAUGUGCCAUCUCUUAGUUUUUCUUUGACUUUGUCCUUUAUUUAUUUUUUCUGCUGUGACAACAUAUCACUGUAAUGUAUCACAUCUAUGACUAUGAGCGCAUUCUUUAUUUAAAAGGCAAGAUGCACGGAGAAAGAUGUGUAUAGGGAAUUAAUGCCCAUUCAUGUUAUAGUGUUACUUUUGCAGAUGUGUGUCUGUGUGUGUAUAUACUGUAUAUAUAUAUAUAUAUAUAUGUGUGUGUGUGUGUGUGUGCGUGUGUGUGUGUGAGGGAAGGAGCAAUAGAAAGAGAGAAUGUUUUAAAAAUUAUUUGUAAAAUACAGCAGUAUAGUUAUCAGAUGUACACCGAGCAGCCAUUUAAUCAGUCAGACAUAAAAAGCUGCGACCAUUUCUCCUCACGGUCUAUGGGUCAAGGAAAUGUUCAACUAUCUUGAACUGGAAAACAACCAGGUACACAUAACUGGUUAGGCUCCAAAAGCAAACUGAUCAGCAUUUAAAACUCUUUUAAAUAUGCCAUUUAGCUCAACUCUCCAUUUUCCCUUGAAUAAUUGAUUUGUGGUCAUUCUCUCAAUUUAACAACAGAUGACAAAGAGAGACACGACAGAGAGAAAGUUGCACAUGCAUGGAGUCAAUGGGCAUCCUUGUUAUGAUCUUCAGAUUGUGUGUGUGUGUGUGUGUGUGUGUGUGUGUGUGUGUGUGUGUGUGUGUGUGUGUGUGUGUGUAUGUGUGUGCGUGUGUGUGUGUGUGUGUGUCUGUCUGUGUGUUACCUUUUACCUUACACUUUAUUCCCUCUCUUCAUGUGUGCUUUUUUUUGUCUCCCUAUUUGUUAUAAUUAAUUUAACAUAAUUUUAUAUUUGAUCUCAUUUUGUCUUAUUUUGUCAUAUCUUUUCUCUUUUCUUGUUCAAAUAUGUCAUAAUGUCUAUGGACUAAUUGAAAAUGUGCAUACAUAGAUUUAAAAAAAGAAAGCCUAACCUUAAGAAAGACUGAAUGGGUUUACUGGUAUAUUCACCUUUGUAGAUUAUGCAUGUUUCAAUAUUAAUGAUGCUGUUAACCAUUUUCAUGCAGCAGCUUUUUUAUUAAUAAAAACAGUGUGAAAUCUU